CUGCACUUUGGGAUAAGCCUGGGAAACUGGGUCUAAUACCGAAUAUACCUUUGGAGUUGCAUGACUCUUGGGGGAAAGCUUUUGCGGUGUGGGAUGGGCCCGCGGCCUAUCAGCUUGUUGGUGGGGUGAUGGCCUACCAAGGCGACGACGGGUAGCCGGCCUGAGAGGGUGUCCGGCCACACUGGGACUGAGAUACGGCCCAGACUCCUACGGGAGGCAGCAGUGGGGAAUAUUGCACAAUGGGCGCAAGCCUGAUGCAGCGACGCCGCGUGGGGGAUGACGGCCUUCGGGUUGUAAACCUCUUUCAGCACAGACGAAGCGCAAGUGACGGUAUGUGCAGAAGAAGCACCGGCCAACUACGUGCCAGCAGCCGCGGUAAUACGUAGGGUGCGAGCGUUGUCCGGAAUUACUGGGCGUAAAGAGCUCGUAGGUGGUUUGUCGCGUUGUUCGUGAAAACUCACAGCUUAACUGUGGGCGUGCGGGCGAUACGGGCAGACUGGAGUACUGCAGGGGAGACUGGAAUUCCUGGUGUAGCGGUGGAAUGCGCAGAUAUCAGGAGGAACACCGGUGGCGAAGGCGGGUCUCUGGGCAGUAACUGACGCUGAGGAGCGAAAGCGUGGGGAGCGAACAGGAUUAGAUACCCUGGUAGUCCACGCCGUAAACGGUGGGUACUAGGUGUGGGUUUCCUUCCUUGGGAUCCGUGCCGUAGCUAACGCAUUAAGUACCCCGCCUGGGGAGUACGGCCGCAAGGCUAAAACUCAAAGGAAUUGACGGGGGCCCGCA
rnacentral:rRNA from 1 species